GUGGAAAAUUCACCAUCUAAUAGUUUCAUAGGAUUCUAAAUGAUUUGACCAUACAUUGACCAUCAAAUCUCUUUAAUUAUUAUUAUUAUUAUUAUUGACAUUUAUAUAGCGCCAACAGAUUCUGUAGCGCUUUACAAUAUUAUGAGAGGGGGGAUAUAACUAUAAACAAGACAAUUACAAGAGAACUUACAGGAACAAUCGGUUGAAGAGGACCCUGCUCAAACGAACUUAUAAUCUUAAAUUAAAACAGUCAAUUCUACUUCACUGCUAAUUUCUAUAAGCGUCUGUUAAAUCUAUUUUAUGAACUGUUUUAAAAAAAAAAAUUACAUCAGUAAACGCAGUGUGAAUAUUUUACGUUGUUAUGCUAGUUAUCGUCACGUAUGGCAUAAUUCUGGAACCAUUGUUAUUCUGCACAAGUUUUCUGCACCAGUUCACAGCCUAAUAUUGACCACGUUGAUAAAUGUUUGCAUUGUAGGUCGAGGUGAAACUAGGGUAACUUAAAAAAAGACAAUUAGAGGAAGGAACAAGAGUGAAGUUUCCUGGUGGCAGUGUCUCAAAUGAUAUUAAGCGCAGACAGAAGUUAGAAACAAAGGAUUUCAUAGAAAUUAAAAGUUAGAAGACUCUCCUUAGAGAUUCGUCAACAGAUGUUCUUAGAGUUAGAAUUGAAAUUCAGUAUAAAGAGAACAGAUGCAGAAAAGUUAAUCUAGCCACUUACCUUGUUUAUAUAAGUAUUAUUUACACGGCCAAUAGUAACAUAUAUCCUCUCCAACUGUUGGAUUCCAUAAGAGAACGAAUUAGCUCCAUAUGGAAAAGAAUUUGAGAUGGACAAUUCAAUUUCUCUUAUUGCAUAUUUGUGAACUUGAUAAGUUCAGAUUGGAUUCUAAGAGCUGUGGUUAAUGACCCGUUUAUCGUAUCUCUGGAGUUACUGGUUUUCUGUGACAAGAACAUCUAAAGACAAACAAAACAGCAACAAUUUUAGAACUAGUAGAAUGUAGCCAUUUAACAUGGAAGAUUAACAGUACAAGGUGAGCAG